rnacentral:rRNA from 1 species
AGGACGAACGCUGGCGGCGUGCCUAACACAUGCAAGUCGAACGAGGCUUAUCCGGUAGCAAUACUGGAGACUGCCUAGUGGCGAACGGGUGAGUAGCACGUGAGCAACCUGCCCCGAAGACUGGGAUAACACCGGGAAACCGGUGCUAAUACCAGAUGCCCCCAUCGGAUCGCAUGAUCUGGUGAGGAAAUGGAUUCCGCUUCGGGAGGGGCUCGCGGCCUAUCAGCUAGUUGGUGAGGUAACGGCUCACCAAGGCUUCGACGGGUAGCUGGUCUGAGAGGACGAUCAGCCACACUGGGACUGAGACACGGCCCAGACUCCUACGGGAGGCAGCAGUGGGGAAUCUUGCACAAUGGGCGAAAAGCCUGAUGCAGCAACGCCGCGUGAGGGACGAAGGCUUUCUGAGUUGUAAACCUCUUUCAGCAGGGACGAUUGUGACGGUACCUGCAGAAGAAGCCCCGGCAACUACGUGCCAGCAGCCGA